rnacentral:misc_RNA from 1 species
UUCUCUGCAGCAAUGCGAUUUGGCUCGUGUCUUUGUUGACCGAGUUUAAACGAAGCUAGGAUGGUCAGUUUAGACUAGCCCGAGUGCUAAGCAUUCUUGGGUCUAGCGCUGGAUUGCUCAUUUCAUCUAUUUUUAU